rnacentral:tRNA from 1 species
UAUUCCCUAAGUGGAAACUUCCUUUCUUCCCAUAGGGAAAGGCUAACCAUCUUGAAAGCUACUUUAUCAACA